rnacentral:rRNA from 1 species
UACGGAGGAGGCAAGCGUUAUCCGGAAUUAUUGGACGUAAAGCGUCCGCAGGUGGCACUUCAAGUCUGUCGUCAAAGACUGGGGCUUAACCCUGGAAAGGCGGUGGAAACUGAAGCGCUAGAGUGCGGUAGGGGUAGAGGGAAUUCCCGGUGUAGCGGUGAAAUGCGUAGAGAUCGGGAAGAACAUCGGUGGCGAAAGCGCUCUACUGGACCGCAACUGACACUCAGGGACGAAAGCUAGGGGAGCGAAUGGG